AUACGUAGGGUGCAAGCGUUAAUCGGAAUUACUGGGCGUAAAGCGUGCGCAGGCGGUUUUGUAAGACAGUGGUGAAAUCCCCGGGCUCAACCUGGGGACUGCCAUUGUGACUGCAAGGCUGGAGUGCGGCAGAGGGGGAUGGAAUUCCGCGUGUAGCAGUGAAAUGCGUAGAUAUGCGGAGGAACACCGAUGGCGAAGGCAAGCCCCUGGGCCUGCACUGACGCUCAUGCACGAAAGCGUGGGGAGCAAACAGGAUUAGAUACCCUGGUAGUCCACGCCCUAAACGAUGUCAACUGGUUGUUGGGGAUUUAUUUUCUCAGUAACGAAGCUAACGCGUGAAGUUGACCGCCUGGGGAGUACGGCCGCAAGGUUAAAACUCAAAGGAAUUGACGGGG
rnacentral:rRNA from 1 species